rnacentral:rRNA from 1 species
UACCAGCUCUCCGAGUGGUGGGGAUGCUUAUUGGGCCUAAAGCAUUCGUAGCCUGCUUGGCAAGUCCUCCGUUAAAUCCAACGAUUCAAUCGUUGGGCUGCGGGGGAUACUGUCCGGCUAGGGGGCGGGAGAGGCCGACGGUAUCCUCGGGGUAGGGGUGAAAUCCUAUAAUCCCGGGAGGACCACCAGUGGCGAAGGCUGUCGGCUAGAACGCGCUCGACGGUGAGGGAUGAAAGCUGGGGGAGCGAACCGGAUUAGAUACCCGGGUAGUCCAGCUGUAAACGAUGCAGGCUAGGUGUUGGCGCGGCUACGUGCCGCUCCAGUGCCGCAGGGAAGCCGUUAAGCCCUGCCCGCCGUGGGGAACGUACGGGCCGCAAGGACUUUAAAACGUUAAAGGAAUUGGGACGGGGGAGCACCACGAAGGUGUGAAGCUUGCGGUUU